AUGCCAUGGUGUGGACAUUUCUUUAACAAAUCAUUCAAUCUUUCCCAAGCCUCAUGCAAAAGUUUUCCUUUCAGGUGAGAAAAUUCUCUGAUGGUUGUUCUC